UACGUAGGUGACAAGCGUUGUCCGGAUUUACUGGGCGUAAAGAGCGCGCAGGCGGUCGUUCAAGUCGAGUGUGAAAGCCCCCGGCUCAACUGGGGAGGGUCACUCGAUACUGAUCGACUCGAAGGCAGGAGAGGGAAGUGGAAUUCCCGGUGUAGUGGUGAAAUGCGUAGAUAUCGGGAGGAACACCAGUGGCGAAGGCGACUGCCUGGCCUGUUCUUGACGCUGAGGCGCGAAAGCUAGGGGAGCAAACGGG
rnacentral:rRNA from 1 species